rnacentral:ncRNA from 1 species
GUUUCGGGGCGGGGUGCGAUUCCCCACCGGCGGUGAUGGGUGUUCAGCCACAAGUCCGCGACCUGCGAAAAGCAGCUGAUCCGGUGCGAUUCCGGAACCGACGGUAUAGUCCGGAUGAAAGAAA